rnacentral:rRNA from 1 species
UGGGGAAUAUUGCACAAUGGGCGCAAGCCUGAUGCAGCAACGCCGCGUGAGUGAUGAAGGCCUUCGGGUUGUAAAACUCUGUCCUAUGGGAAGAAACAAAUGACGGUACCAUAGGAGGAAGCCCCGGCUAACUACGUGCCAGCAGCCGCGGUAAUACGUAGGGGGCAAGCGUUAUCCGGAAUCACUGGGCGUAAAGGGUGCGUAGGCGGCUUAUCAAGCCAGGGGUGAAAGGCAUUGGCUCAACCAAUGUAAGCCUUUGGAACUGAUAGGCUUGAGUGCAGGAGAGGUAAGUGGAAUUCCUAGUGUAGAGGUGAAAUUCGUAGAUAUUAGGAGGAACACCAGUGGCGAAGGCGACUUACUGGACUGUAACUGACGCUGAGGCACGAAAGCGUGGGUAGCGAACA